rnacentral:rRNA from 1 species
UGGGGAAUUUUGCGCAAUGGGGGAAACCCUGACGCAGCAACGCCGCGUGGAGGAUGAAGCCCCUUGGGGCGUAAACUCCUUUCGAUCGAGACGUUUUCGGGUGAAUACUCCGGAAAAGUGACGGUACCGAGAGAAGAAGCCCCGGCUAACUCU